rnacentral:rRNA from 1 species
AGCAGGAAAGCAGGGACGCAAGGCCUUGCGCUCUUUGAGCGGUCCGAUGUCAGAUUAGCUAGUUGGUGAGGUAAAGGCUUACCAAGGCGACGAUCUGUAGCGGGUCUGAGAGGAUGAUCCGCCACACUGGAACUGAGACACGGUCCAGACUCCUACGGGAGGCAGCAGUGGGAAUUUUGGACAAUGGGGGCAACCCUGAUCCAGCCAUGCCGCGUGAGUGAAGAAGGCCUUCGGGUUGUAAAGCUCUUUCGGCCGGGAAGAAAUCGCAUGGGCCAAUACCCUGUGUGGAUGACGGUACCGGAAUAAGAAGCACCGGCUAACUACGUG